rnacentral:lncRNA from 1 species
AGUCAGCCCUGCGGUGCGGUGGGCAUUGCCAGAGCAGGGCGCCCCCUGCAGGGACGCACCCGGGGCGGGGGCCAGGCUGGGGCGAGCCCCCCUUGGUUCUGGAGAGGAAAUGACAUACAGUUUGUGAAAGCAUAAAUAUUCGUGAAAAUAAGAAAAUUCAGGAAGGAAACAAAGCUUAAGGCAGUGAUUGAUAGGUUAUUUCUUGGACACAGCUGAACGUAUACUGUGCGCCUGCAACUUUCCGGUGGUUUCGGACCGGACUUCAGUGAAGCCAGUGAAGUCGGUCGACUUGCAGAACUUCCUUUCAGAGGGGCGUACACAGCACCGCGGCCGUGUGCCUGUGAUCUCCUUCUGAGUUUGAAAAAGAAGAUCCUAGACACCGAGCCAAAUAUGUUUGCAUAAACCGGGAGACUUGUGGCUCUAUUUUGUAACAGCUUGGCGCAGGGCAGCUGGUUUGGAGAUGUCUCUGUUCUUCCCUUGGUGGGGGUGCCGGAAAAAAUGUGCUGCCUGGGCGAUCGAGGUUGGGGCAAAAGCGUUGCAAAGGAAAAGGUGGGAGGACUCUACUUUCACAUUUCCCAAAAGAGUUUUACCAUAAGACUAUUUCUGGAUUGUUCUAACGUGAGGAUAUUGGGAGCAUUUUGAAAAUACUGGAGGAAAAGCUGUCACUGGGCGAUUUAAAUCCGGUAAGUUGGCCAAGGCAGAGCAGCUGCUGGGGUCAGCGACAGCUGACCCUUGCAGCUGAGUAUCUUGCCCUCUUAAUCUUGGAGAUCAGCCCAAGGCCCAUGUGUUACAGGAAAGGGGUCCCGAUCUAGACCCCAAGAGAGGGUUCUUCGAUCUCACGCAAGAAACAAUUCAGAGUAAGUCCACAGUGCAAAGUAAAAGCAAGUUUAUUAAGAAAGUAAAGUGGUGGCUGGGCACAGUGGCUCACGCGUAAUCCCAGCACUUUGGGAGGCUGAGACGGACAGAUCACCUGAUGUCAGGAGUUCAAGACCAGCUGGCCAACAUGGCAAAACCCCGUCUCUACUAGAAAUACAAAUAUUGGCCGGGCGUGGUGGCGCAAGCCUGUUGUCUCAGCUACUCACGGGGCUGAGGCAGGAGAAUCGCUUGAACCCGGGAGGCAGAGGCUACAGUGAGCCGAGAUCGCCACUGCACUCCAGCAGGGCAUUCCUGAAAAUAAGAGGAGGGACAUAUCCAACUAAGGUACAAUGCUUGUAAUGCUUGUAUAUAUGGGCAGAUGUCUUCUGCUACAAGGGUUUGUGAUAAAGGAUUAAUUUUCCCUAAUUACUAUAUUUUGCAAUAAUCAAUAUUAUUAUUUUUAAAGCAAAAUUAGGAAUGCCUUUGUUCUCCAGAUAUCGGGAUAUCUGGACUCUCUCAAGUCUGGGUCUGUUUAGUAAGCAUUAUUAAUUUGUUCUCUUAACCAUAAACACCUAGAGGCUAGGAAUGCCUAGCUUUCAGGAAAUGCAGCCUAGCAAGUCCCAGCCUCAUUUUUCUAGCCCUCACUCAAAAUGGAGGCGCUCUGGUUUGAACACUUCUGACACAUGUGCUUGAUGCAACACUCUUUACCUCUCUUUGUCUCCCCUGUCCUUCCCCUUCUCUUCCAGAUUCCCCUUGUCGGCAAAGCCAGGCGCUGAUAGCGUUAUGGCUGCCAUGAGAGUCAGCAGUAUCCCAGCUUCCAAGGAUGGGUGUAAGGUGGGGGUGAGGAAGAAAAGGAACUUGAAGCUGCCUCCUGUCCCAGAAUCACAAGACAUCUGUUAAGCCCUUACUACCUCAUUCACUCCACUCACAUUAGGUUGACCCACUUGGGCAGCAAGACAAGCAGGCCUGCAAACUUCCUUUUCUUCAUCAGCCACAGAGACAUCCUCAGCUAUUAUUCUGGAUUAAGGCAGAGAUCUCCAAACAGCAGACUAAGAUCAGCCUCUAGAUCUCAAAGCCUUACUGUUAUCUCUCCAAGUCAGUGGCUGAUCUCAGAGAAGCUUCUGAAUAGUGACUAGCAAAGAGUCACUCAGGCUACUUACAAAUCCAGGACAGCAGCGUUUUUUUUUUUUUCUUUUUUAGAGACAGAUUCACUCUGUCAUCCAAGCUGGAGUGCAGUGGCACGAUCUUGGCUCACUGCAACCUCCACCUCCUGGGCUCAAGCAAUCCUCCUACCUCAGCCUCCCAAGUAGCUGGAACUACAGGUACCCAACACCAUGCCAGGCUAAUUUCUAAUUUUUUGUAGAGACAGCAGUCUCCCUCUGUUGCCCAGGCUGGCCUCAAACUCCUAGGCUCAAGUGUUCCUCCUGCCUGGGCCUCCCAAAGUGCUGGGAUCACAGAUGUGAGCCACUGCAUGCAGC